GCACAGAGUGGCCUCCUCGGAGGGUCCCCCUAUACCUCCACCUGAGAACCAGCAAACAAAGAAGAAGAAGAAGAAGACUUUCUGGAGACUGUUUAGCUGCUGCAGGAAAAAACAUAGCGCUGCUCCAGUUACUGAAGAUGAAGCUCAGCAGAAGACUCCUCGGAAAACUGACAGAAGUUGCAGCCCUACUAAAACUCAAGAUGGGACCCAACAGCCCAACACCUCUAUCCAAGCUGACCCAGUGGUGGAGUUAAAAGAAGACAAGGCCCCACUGGAAAAAGUUCACGAGGAGAACAAGAGAGCAGAUACCCUGCUGCCUCAUCUGCUUCCCGUUCCUGGCCCCGCAAAAAGGCAAGUAAACUAUUCUCACUUAAGAGAAUAAGAGAUAAUUCAUAGCUUUAUAAGGGACAUCAAAAUGCUAAAAAUUGAUCAGCUAAAGCCAGGACAUUUUUGUGUUACAUUACCUCAGUAUGCCAAACUCUGGACCAGGAAAAAAAAACCUCUAAACAAUC